rnacentral:rRNA from 1 species
UACGGAGGGUGCAAGCGUUGUCCGGAAUCAUUGGGCGUAAAGAGUUCGUAGGCGGUAUGUUAAGUCUGGUGUUAAAGCCCGAAGCUCAACUUCGGUUCGGCACUGGAUACUGGCAAACUUGAAUGUGGUAGAGGUAAAGGGAAUUCCUGGUGUAGCGGUGAAAUGCGUAGAUAUCAGGAGGAACAUCGGUGGCGAAAGCGCUUUACUGGGCCAUAAUUGACGCUGAGGAACGAAAGCCGGGGUAGCAAAUGGG